AACGGGUGAGUAACACGUGGGCAAUCUGCCCUUCACUCUGGGACAAGCCCUGGAAACGGGGUCUAAUACCGGAUAACACUCUGUCCCUCAUGGGGCGGAGUUAAAAGCUCCGGCGGUGAAGGAUGAGCCCGCGGCCUAUCAGCUUGUUGGUGGGGUAAUGGCCUACCAAGGCGACGACGGGUAGCCGGCCUGAGAGGGCGACCGGCCACACUGGGACUGAGACACGGCCCAGACUCCUACGGGAGGCAGCAGUGGGGAAUAUUGCACAAUGGGCGAAAGCCUGAUGCAGCGACGCCGCGUGAGGGAUGACGGCCUUCGGGUUGUAAACCUCUUUCAGCAGGGAAGAAGCGAAAGUGACGGUACCUGCAGAAGAAGCGCCGGCUAACUACGUGCCAGCAGCCGCGGUAAUACGUAGGGCGCAAGCGUUGUCCGGAAUUAUUGGGCGUAAAGAGCUCGUAGGCGGCUUGUCACGUCGGAUGUGAAAGCUCGGGGCUUAACCCCGAGUCUGCAUUCGAUACGGGCUAGCUAGAGUGUGGUAGGGGAGAUCGGAAUUCCUGGUGUAGCGGUGAAAUGCGCAGAUAUCAGGAGGAACACCGGUGGCGAAGGCGGAUCUCUGGGCCAUUACUGACGCUGAGGAGCGAAAGCGUGGGGAGCGAACAGGAUUAGAUACCCUGGUAGUCCACGCCGUAAACGUUGGGAACUAGGUGUUGGCGACAUUCCACGUCGUCGGUGCCGCAGCUAACGCAUUAAGUUCCCCGCCUGGGGAGUACGGCCGCAAGGCUAAAACUCAAAGGAAAUUGACGGGGGCCCGCACAAGCAGCGGAGCAUGUGGCUUAAUUCGACGCAACGCGAAGAACCUUACCAAGGCUUGACAUAUACCGGAAAGCAUCAGAGAUGGUGCCCCCCUUGUGGUCGGUAUACAGGUGGUGCAUGGCUGUCGUCAGCUCGUGUCGUGAGAUGUUGGGUUAAGUCCCGCAACGAGCGCAACCCUUGUUCUGUGUUGCCAGCAUGCCCUUCGGGGUGAUGGGGACUCACAGGAGACUGCCGGGGUCAACUCGGAGGAAGGUGGGGACGACGUCAAGUCAUCAUGCCCCUUAUGUCUUGGGCUGCACACGUGCUACAAUGGCCGGUACAAUGAGCUGCGAUGCCGCGAGGCGGAGCGAAUCUCAAAAAGCCGGUCUCAGUUCGGAUUGGGGUCUGCAACUCGACCCCAUGAAGUCGGAGUUGCUAGUAAUCGCAGAUCAGCAUUGCUGCGGUGAAUACGUUCCCGGGCCUUGUACACACCGCCCGUCACGUCACGAAAGUCGGUAAC
rnacentral:rRNA from 1 species